GCCUGAGAGAUGGCUCCCACGUCCAAGGAUGGCAGCAGGCGCGAAAAUUGUCCACUCUUUUGAGAGGAGACAGUUAUGAAACGUGAGUAGAAGGGUCGAGUGUAAAAACCUUGACGUGAAGCAAUUGGAGGGCAAGUUUUGGUGCCAGCAGCCGCGGUAAUUCCAACUCCAAGAGUGUCUAUGGUGGAUGCUGCAGUUAAAGGGUCCGUAGUCGUAGAUGCAAUUAAAAGGUGGUGUUAAAAGCCAUUGAGUUUGUUGAGAGUAGCGGAACGGAUAGGGAGCAUGGUAUAGGUAGGCAAAGAAUGAAAUCUCAAGACCCCACCUGGACCAACGGAGGCGAAAGCGAUGCUCUUAGACGUAUCUGGGGAUCAAGGACGAAGGCUAGAGUAUCGAAAGUGAUUAGACACCGCUGUAGUUCUAGCAGUAAACUAUGCCGACAAUGCUGGGUGUUGCGAGAGCGAUGCUUGGUGUGGGAGAAAUCUUAGUUUUCGGGCUCUGGGGAUAGUACGC
rnacentral:rRNA from 1 species